rnacentral:rRNA from 1 species
UAUACAUGCAGUCGAACGAACUUCCGUUAAUUGAUUAUGACGUACUUGUACUGAUUGAGAUUUUAACACGAAGUGAGUGGCGAACGGGUGAGUAACACGUGGGUAACCUGCCCAGAAGUAGGGGAUAACACCUGGAAACAGAUGCUAAUACCGUAUAACAGAGAAAACCGCAUGGUUUUCUUUUAAAAGAUGGCUCUGCUAUCACUUCUGGAUGGACCCGCGGCGUAUUAGCUAGUUGGUGAGGUAAAGGCUCACCAAGGCAGUGAUACGUAGCCGACCUGAGAGGGUAAUCGGCCACAUUGGGACUGAGACACGGCCCAGACUCCUACGGGAGGCAGCAGUAGGGAAUCUUCCACAAUGGACGCAAGUCUGAUGGAGCAACGCCGCGUGAGUGAAGAAGGGUUUCGGCUCGUAAAGCUCUGUUGUUAAAGAAGAACGUGGGUAAGAGUAACUGUUUACCCAGUGACGGUAUUUAACCAGAAAGCCACGGCUAACUACGUGCCAGCAGCCGCGGUAAUACGUAGGUGGCAAGCGUUAUCCGGAUUUAUUGGGCGUAAAGCGAGCGCAGGCGGUCUUUUAAGUCUAAUGUGAAAGCCUUCGGCUCAACCGAAGAAGUGCAUUGGAAACUGGGAGACUUGAGUGCAGAAGAGGACAGUGGAACUCCAUGUGUAGCGGUGAAAUGCGUAGAUAUAUGGAAGAACACCAGUGGCGAAGGCGGCUGUCUGGUCUGCAACUGACGCUGAGGCUCGAAAGCAUGGGUAGCGAACAGGAUUAGAUACCCUGGUAGUCCAUGCCGUAAACGAUGAUUACUAAGUGUUGGAGGGUUUCCGCCCUUCAGUGCUGCAGCUAACGCAUUAAGUAAUCCGCCUGGGGAGUACGACCGCAAGGUUGAAACUCAAAAGAUUGACGGGGGC